CAUGCUGGGAGCCUCUUCACAACAAGUGGGCUGUGUUCCUGAAGUCUUUCGGGGAGCUUGGGAAACUGUUGACCUCCUAGAUCACUAGGACCUGGGUCGAGCACGGGCCGUCACAGAAAAAUAUGGAACUUGUUCCCGAUAUUUCAUCAUGACCUUGUGCUAGAAAGCUUUGAAGUUAGCCUAAACCUCAGCUAGCCUGGCAAAUCUUCCGACUCGACCACUGGACUCGUUUUGCAACGGACUCCACCACAUUCGGUUGCCCCAGGCUCCACGGGCAGCAGCGGAGCGUCACUGACAAAUUUCCAUUCCACGCAGGCGCUGGUUAAUCCGGCUCGGGCGGAAGAACUCCGACUGUCUCCUCACCUCCCUCUCCCCCGCCCCCGCGGUUAAUCAAAGGCCUCUGUCCGUUCUGCGCAGGCGCCACUGGGGUCUCAGAGGAGCCGGGAGUAGGGGCCACGCCUCUUCACAGUUUCGGUCCAGAGUUCAUAGACUGUUGAAGACAAAGAAAAAGUAAGACUUCUCCAUUUAUCCAUUAUUUCAACAAUUGUUGGGAAAAGAGAAAAAGAUUAAUCGACAGUGCCAUUACACUCAAAAAUUCUUUUACUCCUACAACAGGCAGAUAGUUUUCUGUAGUGAAACUAGUCUGACACAGACAUCACC
rnacentral:lncRNA from 1 species